rnacentral:rRNA from 1 species
UACGUAGGGUGCGAGCGUUAAUCGGAAUUACUGGGCGUAAAGCGUGCGCAGGCGGUUGUGCAAGACCGAUGUGAAAUCCCCGGGCUUAACCUGGGAACUGCAUUGGUGACUGCACGGCUAGAGUGUGUCAGAGGGGGGUAGAAUUCCACGUGUAGCAGUGAAAUGCGUAGAGAUGUGGAGGAAUACCGAUGGCGAAGGCAGCCCCCUGGGAUAACACUGACGCUCAUGCACGAAAGCGUGGGGAGCAAACAGG